GAUGAACGCUGGCGGCGUGCCUAAUACAUGCAAGUCGAGCGAACAGACGAGGAGCUUGCUCCUCUGACGUUAGCGGCGGACGGGUGAGUAACACGUGGAUAACCUACCUAUAAGACUGGGAUAACUUCGGGAAACCGGAGCUAAUACCGGAUAAUAUAUUGAACCGCAUGGUUCAAUAGUGAAAGACGGUUUUGCUGUCACUUAUAGAUGGAUCCGCGCCGCAUUAGCUAGUUGGUAAGGUAACGGCUUACCAAGGCAACGAUGCGUAGCCGACCCGAGAGGGUGAUCGGCCACACUGGAACUGAGACACGGUCCAGACUCCUACGGGAGGCAGCAGUAGGGAAUCUUCCGCAAUGGGCGAAAGCCUGACGGAGCAACGCCGCGUGAGUGAUGAAGGUCUUCGGAUCGUAAAACUCUGUUAUUAGGGAAGAACAAAUGUGUAAGUAGCUAUGCACGUCUUGACGGUACCUAAUCAGAAAGCCACGGCUAACUACGUG
rnacentral:rRNA from 1 species